rnacentral:rRNA from 1 species
AAUAUAUAGCUAAUCUGCCCCUUGCUGGAGGACGACAGUUAGAAAUGACUGCUAAUACUCCAUACUCCUUCUUACCAUAAGAUAAAUCGGGAAAGAAUUUCGGCAAGGGAUGAGACUAUAUCGUAUCAGCUAGUCGGUGGGGUAACGGCCUACCGAGGCUAUGACGCGUAACUGGUCUGAGAGGAUGAUCAGUCACAUUGGAACUGAGACACGGUCCAA